rnacentral:rRNA from 1 species
GAUGAACGCUGGCGGCGUGCCUAAUACAUGCAAGUCGAGCGAACGGACGAGAAGCUUGCUUCUCUGAUGUUAGCGGCGGACGGGUGAGUAACACGUGGAUAACCUACCUAUAAGACUGGGAUAACUUCGGGAAACCGGAGCUAAUACCGGAUAAUAUUUUGAACCGCAUGGUUCAAAAGUGAAAGACGGUCUUGCUGGCACUUAUCGAUGGAUCCGCGCUGCAUUAGCUAGUUGGUAAGGUAACGGCUUACCAAGGCAACGAUGCAUAGCCGACCUGAGAGGGUGAUCGGCCACACUGGAACUGGGACACGGUCCAGACUCCUGCGGGAGGCAGCAGUAGGGAAUCUGCCGCAGAGGGCGAAAGCCUGACGGAGCAACGCCGCGUGAGUGGUGAAGGUCUUCGGAUCGUAAAACUGUGUUAUUAGGGAAGAACAUAUGUGUAAGUAACUGUGCACAUCUUGACGGUACCUAAUCAGAAAGCCACGGCUAACUACGUG